rfam:Myotis lucifugus cont2.22756, whole genome shotgun sequence.
GGUGGCUCUCGGGUGACGCACCCUGGAAUCGGGCUCCCUCCUCUCUGGUUCCGGGGUGCAUCACCCGAGAACCACC